AAUCAUAGAGGACAGGCAGUGGGGCAGGACUAGGUGCGUAGUGGAGGUCGCCUUUGAUCUUGACAAAACCAGCAGACCCCUUUUUUUCCAGAUAAGGGGUUGUGAACCCACCUGGGGAUGAGGCCUGGUCUUAUGGAAGGUGGACUUAGCUUCGCUGGGCGGACAGCUCUGGCCCAGGGUGUGGUCUCACUCUUCCCUACUCUUGCCCCUCACUCUGAGGUUAAGGGGUCACUUAAAACCUUGCCCCUGGGUCGUCCGGUAAGCCUGUGGAGGAUGUAGAGUCGGUGCUGGAGUCUUGGGCACGGCAUUUUGCU
rnacentral:lncRNA from 1 species